AAGACCACCAGAUGCCGACUCAUGCCUUCUCCAAGGCUCCCUAGCUGGGGAACGAGGAGGUUGCGCCCUGCUGCGCUGAUACUGUGGUGGCCUCUGAUGAGGCUGGUAAGCAGUUACCCGACCUCCUGCUCCACUACCGGAGGCCUGGUGGUCCCUCCUCCUGAUCGGCCCAUUCCCCGGUAAUACUUUCUUCUCUUUCCUCCCCAACCCUUCUAACUGGUCUGUCUUAAUCCGUGCAGCCUUCUCCUCUUCAAUCUCGAUGUCUCUCUUAGCCUGUUCGUAUGCGGCUGCAUACAUUUGAAUAGCUGGGCUUCUCAAAUUGUACCACAGCCUUCCUAUCUUCACCCCUUCUUUCAAUCCCCUUAACGCCUGAGGGUGGUUGAAGGCUCCCAAGUCGAGGACAGUCCGAUGAAACCUUUUGAUGAAUUCCCGAAAGGUUUCUUGCUCCCCCUGUUUCAUGCUUUUCAGCUCCAUCAUGUCAUCUUCCGGUGCCACUACCCCACUAAACUGCUCCGCGAAUUCCUGGCACAUCUGCUUGAAGGUUUUAAUGCUGCCCCGAGGAAGUUUCCUGUACCAUUCUCGUGCACGUCCCUCAAGGGAUAGUGGGAACACCCUGCGCCUUUGGGAUUGAGAUAAUCCUUGUACCCCAGUUAUGUCGUUGAAGCGCUCUAUGUGCACCAGCGGAUCAGUUCCUCCCGAGUAUCUGAGGUCUGGGAGGCGGAAAUCUCUCGGAAUAACUGCCCUCAUGAUCUCUGCUGCGAGCGGUGAUUCUAUGUCCAGCAUUAUCCUCCAACCAGGGGCUCUGUUUCUUCCUUGCAUGUCGUCAAUUAUUUGCGCUAGUCUGCGCACUUCCUCCUCCAGCUGCACUGCACGACCAGGGUCACGUGCUGCAACUUGAUCCCACUCUUGCUCUACAUCGGUGUAGGGGGGUGCAGCAGCCCUCGAUCCUUUAUGGCCUCGUACACCUCAUCCAGGGACAUCUUCAAGGAAGUGUACCGCCCAUAGUCCGGGUUCUGGUCGAUCAGGUGCACUGUUCUUUCUUUGUUUGCCCCGCUCUGAGUGGGGGGCGGUGGAAGUACUUCUGGUCUACUCGCUCUGCUAUCGUGGGGAAGACCACCAGAUGCUGACUCAUGCCUUCUCCAAGGCUCCCUAGCUGGGGAACGAGGAGGUUGCGCCCUGCUGCGCUGAUACUGUGGUGGCCUCUGAUGAGGCUGGUAAGCAGUCACCCGACCUCCUGCUCCACCACCGGAGGCCUGGUGGUCCCUCCUCCUGAUCGGCUCAUUCUCCGGUAAUGCUUUCUUCUCUUUCCUCCCCAACCCUUCUAACUGGUCUGUCUUAAUCCGUGCAGUCUUCUCCUCUUCAAUCUCGAUGUCUCUCUUAGCCUGUUCGUAUGCGGCUGCAUACGUUUGAAUCGCUGGGCUUCUCAGAUUGUACCACAGCCUUCCUAUCUUCACCCCUUCCUUCAAUCCCCUUAACGCCUGAGGGUGGUUGAAGGCC
rnacentral:lncRNA from 1 species